CCAAUAGCGUAUAUUAAAGUUGUUGCAGUUAAAAAGCUCGUAGUUGAAUUUCGGGGUUCAUACGUUGGUCGGGCUAUUUGGUCUGUACUUAUGUAAUGGAUUCCUACCUUCUGAAUAACCGGCAUGCCAUUAAUUUGGUGCGCCGGGGAAGCAGGACUGUUACCUUGAAAAAAUUAGAGUGCUUAAAGCAGGCUAUCGCCUGAAUACAUUAGCAUGGAAUCAUGAAAUAGAAAGGAAUGGUUCUAUUUUGUUGGUUUCUAGGGUCACCGUAAUGAUUAAUAGGGAGAGUUGGGAGUAUUAGUAUUCAAUUGUCAGAGGUGAAAUUCUUGGAUUUAUUGAAGACUAACUUCUGCGAAAGCAUUUGCCAAGGAUGUUUUCAUUAAUCAAGAACGAAAGUUAGGGGAUCGAAGACGAUCAGAUACCGUCGUAGUCUUAACCAUAAACUAUGCCGACUAGGGAUCGGACGAUGUUAAUUUUUUAAUGACUCGUUCGGCGCCUUACG
rnacentral:misc_RNA from 1 species